rnacentral:rRNA from 1 species
UACAGAGGGGGCGAGCGUUGUUCGGAAUUACUGGGCAUAAAGGGCGCGUAGGCGGCCUGCUAAGUCGGACGUGAAAUCCCUCGGCUCAACCGGGGAACUGCGUCCGAUACUGGUUGGCUUGAAUUCGGGAGAGGGAUGCGGAAUUCCAGGUGUAGCGGUGAAAUGCGUAGAUAUCUGGAGGAACACCGGUGGCGAAGGCGGCAUCCUGGACCGAGAUUGACGCUGAGGAGCGAAAGCGUGGGGAGCAAACAGG